CCCUGCAUUGACGCUUAAAAGGAAAGAAUACACACACACAAGGAUUUUAAGAUUUUAUUUACUCAGCCAUUACAUAAUCUCCAUAAUCAAUAAUAAAUAUAUAAUCUUCAUAAUCUGGAGAUUAUGUAAUGGCUGAGUAAAUAAAAUCUUAAAAUCCUUGUGUGUGUGUAUUCUUUCCUUUUAAGCGUCCAUGCAGGG
rnacentral:miRNA from 1 species